CGAAACAAGAUACUGUGUGCUCGUAUAAUUUUGGGAAUAAGGCCCAACAGUUUCUACCGGGUGACCGUAAAUCGCCUGACUACGAGUGAAAGAGCGUCUAGG
rnacentral:ncRNA from 2 species